AAAAAAAAAAAAAGCGGGUGAAACCGAGCACCGCCGAUCUCUCGGGGUUGGCUGAGCCCCCCCGGGGGGUGGGUGUUGUGCCGGUCGGGGGUGCGGAGUGGGGACAGGGGGGCGCCCACCCUGUCCUCAGCUCUCCAGGACCGGAGCCCCGCUAUCCCCGGGCAACAACAGCCGGGGACAGAGGGACGGGUUCCCCCACAACCCCUAAAAGGGCGUUUUAGGGCGUUUUGGGGUGGCACCAGGGUUCCCUGCGAGAUGCGCACCGUGCUCGGGCUCAUAUCAGGAAAAGAUGAAGGGUCCGGGCUCCUCCCUGCUGCCCCCCAUCCCUCCCCCGGCUGGCACCGAGCUCCUGACCUCUGCCUUCCAGCCCUUCUCUCCUCCUGUGGGGAGGCUUCAUCCUCUCUCACCCUCCCGCAGGGAGCAGCGCCCUCAUCCCCAAAGCGGCUCCCCAGGGGCAGGAGCCCUUCCCCGGCCACCCUCACCCCAGGCAUUGGCUGGUUUGGGAGCCCCACUGUGACAAAGACUGAGGGUGACAUCGGAUCCCGGCGUGUGCGGAGCAUCGCGGGGGGGCGGGGGGGGGGUCCUAGAGAAGGGAGGACCGGAGCUUUUCUCUCCCUAUCCGCCCAAUAGGGGAGGGGGCUGCCUGCAGCCUCCCACCGCGCUGCAGCCCUGGGGCCGGGGGACUGGGUGCCUGAGAGCCCCCCGGCUGUCCCCAGCGACAGCUCCUCGUUAUUUAAGUGUCCCAGGAACAAAAUCAGCCCGUCUUUCUCUCGGUCCCCCCUUAGGGAAGGAAGAAGGAUUAAUCCUGGGGGCGACGUGCAGAGCAUUGGUGGAAAAGCGUGGACUUUGUUUUAAGACAUCAAAGGGGAAGGACUCAAAAGGAUGGACACUACCUUCCAAUACACUUUACUUAGCCGGUGACAAAAACUCCGGGCAUGCAGUGAAUGAGUAAUUACCCCCAUCUGAAAAUUCCCUAUCUAAUUUGAUAUUUGGUGCUCAGCAGAAGCUAGCCUUCGUAAAUAAUAUACAAAGUAAGAAACCUAAUCCAGCAGGCUAGAAUGUUUAAUUCAUCAUUAUGCGAGCUAAUUGGAAGGUGAUUAUAUGGUAAUUGCUCAUUAGUGGUGUAUAUUUAUCGCUGUACCUUAUGUCAAGGCCAUGGGAAUUGUGUAGAGGCUGUUCUCUCAUUUCAAGGCUCAGUUUCGGGAGCAGGAGCGAAGCGGGCCGGAUCGAGUUCUGCCCGACGUCAGCCCCGCCGCUUGUGGUGCCCAGCGCCCCUAUAAAGCCGGGAGCGCUCGGGGGGCGCGGGGCAGAGCUGGGAUCAGAGCCGAGCCGAGCCAUGCCGUGCCGUGCCGUGCCGUGCCAUGCCAUGCCGUGCCGUGCCAUGCCGUGUCGCCGGCCCGGGGACAGCAAGGAGCAGGAAAGAGGGGGGUUCACGCACAGCCCCCUGGUCUCCAACCCCGGGGUUCCCGCAACAGGCACUAAUUGCAGCAGGGUGAUUAAAAGCCAGCGGGGGCUGGUGAUUAAUGGCCCCUUCGCUUUCCAGAGGAGGACCACGGCCUGGGCUCCCCGGCUAAACCAGCUUCCCCGCCGGAAGAAGGGAUGGGUUGCGGCUGGGGGCCAGGGGGUCCCCUAAAUUCCCACCUGCAGCCCUUGGCAGGAGUAAAUGGGAGCUGCAGGAGAACUGAGAAGGAAAGACGGGCUGCUGGCUAAGGGGGCAGGGGCCGGGAGAUGCUCCUUAUCAGGGAACGCUGCCCUGACUUCGCCUAUUUCCUACCAGCCGGGCAGAUAGGCCGUUUGCUAAUUAAGGGGAACUGCUAAUUUCCGCCAAGCCCUGCGAAGAGGGGAAAAAGUAUAUGGUUCCUGCAGAAAUAAGCCUUUUAUCAAGAUGGGAAACAAUUUCUAGGAAGGCCCGAGUCUGCUGUUCAGCCGCGACCCGUUUAAUGUUUGCCCAUUUGCAUGGGUUUGAAGUGGAGCGCAGGCUAACUUGGGCGAGGUGAGCGAGGGGAAAUGUGCGCCCUGCUUCGCUGCACGACCUGCGCCGUCAGCUCUUCGGGAAGGGGGGCAGGCGACGGGAGAAGUUUACCUUGGGAAUAGCUCCACGAAAUAAUUAGCCCGGGUUUAAAUGGAAGGGACCCGCAUUGCGACAUGCGUCCGAGCCCUGCCUGGGCCUCUCUCUUAUAUUUGGAGCGCCGGUGAAUGAAAAGUCACCGGGAUUGUAUAGGGAGCGAUGGUAAAAAAAUAAUAAUAAAAUCGGAUUUUUUUUUUAAAUAAAAAUUUGCAUAGUACCCGAUAGAGCCAACACGUGCACGGAAUGUCUAAUCUUAACUUUUCAAGGCAGGAUGUUUAACAAAGCUCGUAUUUUCGCGAUGCAUUGUAACUUCGCCUUAUCACAGUGUAAAGGGUAGUCAGAUUGUCCUAAAUUAUGUCCAACUAGCCCCCCUGGAUCCACGGAUUAAGAGAUUAAAGGAGACCACUGGGCAAUGCCUCCUCUUUCCCCUUC